CACGCUUGAUGGCGACACGGGUUCCGUCACCGAGAAUCCCUCUGUACACCUUCCCGUAGCCUCCUGACCCGAUCUCGUGGUUGUCAGAGAAGUUGUUGGUGCAGAUCUUGAGCUCGUCAAAGGAGAAGAACCUUGCUCCCUUCAGCUGUGGAGCCCCUCCACUGUCCUUCUGGCCAGCAGCCCAUGAAGCUGAAAAUUUUGGAUCAGAAAACAGGUUCAGUUGUUUCAGAACUUCUUGAUCUUGUCAGUUUAUUCCAGUAGUAGCAUGCAGUAGGAUGCUGCUGCUUGUAGCUGUUAAUGUGUCCCUGACAAAUUGCUUGGUGGCAUUGCAGUGACAUGAUACCUAUGAGCUUUUAGAUCCUUACCAAAAGGGUCUGCUCUUUCCUUGAGUUCCUUAGCCCUUCUCUUCUGUCGGAGAGCAAACAAUGACAUGAAAAUGAGGGCGAUAACAAGGACCCCACCGGCUACUGCAAUUCCAGCUAUGGCACCUGUGCUCAUCUUGGAUUUUUUGCCACCAAGAGCAACUGGCACACACAAAAUCAGAGUGAGCAAUCCUCACACCACUAUAUACUAGUACUUUUGUGCAAAUACUAAACUCUCCGACAUAAAAUAGCAGAGUCCUUUUAGCAUCUCAUUAAUUGCAAUUUAGAAGUAAAAAAUUAAAACUUUCAAGAUACCAACCCUCAGAUAACGAAAUGUGGUAUUUCCUAAGCUGUAAUUUUGAUACCUCUGCAUUCUCAAAGGGAAAACUAAAACUACUUCAGUGCAAAUAAAGUGGGAGUCUCGACACAGUGAAAUCCAAGUACCUGCCAAGGGGGCAUAUGGGUCUGCAAUGAAGAAAUAAG
rnacentral:lncRNA from 1 species